rnacentral:lncRNA from 1 species
GUACAUUUUGUCAGGAAAUGCAGCUCCGUCUCAGGUUCUGCUGUUGUGCAGUGGUUGCACAGCCUUUCCUCUACAGGGAGCCAGGUUUUCCUGUGUCUACCCUUCUCAAUGCCAAGGCUAUGCUCACUGAGCCUGUACUUUGUCAAGGUUUUUCUAAGGUUUUGAUCAGUAACCAUGGUCAAAUAUUUAGCCACGGUGUACUGUCGAUUUAGGGCCAGAUAGCACUGCAUUUGGCUUUCUGCUUGUGUUUCCAGUAAGCAAUGUAGUUUUGACUGUGUUGUAAUUUGGGUUAUUCUGAUUGAUUGGAUGUUCUGGUCCUGAGGCUUCAGUGUGUUAGUAGAACAGGUUAGUGAACUCAGUCCCAGGACCAGCUGGAUGAGGGUCCUGAGGCUUCAGUGUGUUAGUAGAACAGGUUAGUGAACUCAGCCCCAGGACCAG